rnacentral:rRNA from 1 species
UGCAAGUCGAGCGGAUAGACGAGGAGCUUGCUCCUCAGAUUCAGCGGCGGACGGGUGAGUAACACGUGGGCAACCUGCCUGUAAGACUGGGAUAACUUCGGGAAACCGGAGCUAAUACCGGAUAACUCUUCGGACCACAUGGACUGAAGAUAAAAGAUGGUUCUGCUAUCACUUACAGAUGGGCCCGCGGCGCAUUAGCUAGUUGGUGAGGUAACGGCUCACCAAGGCGACGAUGCGUAGCCGACCUGAGAGGGUGAUCGGCCACACUGGGACUGAGACACGGCCCAGACUCCUACGGGAGGCAGCAGUAGGGAAUCUUCCGCAAUGGACGAAAGUCUGACGGAGCAACGCCGCGUGAGCGAUGAAGGCCUUCGGGUCGUAAAGCUCUGUUGUUAGGGAAGAACAAGUAUCAGUUAACUGCUGGUACCUUGACGGUACCUAACGAGAAAGCCACGGCUAACUACGUGCCAGCAGCCGCGGUAAUACGUAGGUGGCAAGCGUUGUCCGGAUUUAUUGGGCGUAAAGCGCGCGCAGGCGGUUCUUUAAGUCUGAUGUGAAAGCCCACGGCUCAACCGUGGAGGGUCAUUGGAAACUGGGGAACUUGAGUGCAGAAGAGGAGAGCGGAAUUCCACGUGUAGCGGUGAAAUGCGUAGAGAUGUGGAGGAACACCAGUGGCGAAGGCGGCUCUCUGGUCUGUAACUGACGCUGAGGCGCGAAAGCGUGGGGAGCAAACAGGAUUAGAUACCCUGGUAGUCCACGCCGUAAACGAUGAGUGCUAAGUGUUGGAGGGUUUCCGCCCUUCAGUGCUGCAGCUAACGCAUUAAGCACUCCGCCCUGGGGAGUACGGUCGCAAGACUGAAACUCAAAGGAAUUGACGGGGGGCCCGCACAAGGCGGUGGAGCAUGUGGUUUAUUUCGAAGCAACG